rnacentral:rRNA from 1 species
CGGGACACGUGGUAUCCUGUCUGAAUAUGGGGGGACCAUCCUCCAAGGCUAAAUACUCCUGACUGACCGAUAGUGAACCAGUACCGUGAGGGAAAGGCGAAAAGAACCCCGGCGAGGGGAGUGAAAAAGAACCUGAAACCGUGUACGUACAAGCAGUGGGAGCACGCUUAGGCGUGUGACUGCGUACCUUUUGUAUAAUGGGUCAGCGACUUAUAUUCUGUAGCAAGGUUAACCGAAUAGGGGAGCCGAAGGGAAACCGAGUCUUAACUGGGCGUUAAGUUGCAGGGUAUAGACCCGAAACCCGGUGAUCUAGCCAUGGGCAGGUUGAAGGUUGGGUAACACUAACUGGAGGACCGAACCGACUAAUGUUGAAAAAUUAGCGGAUGACUUGUGGCUGGGGGUGAAAGGCCAAUCAAACCGGGAGAUAGCUGGUUCUCCCCGAAAGCUAUUUAGGUAGCGCCUCGUGAAUUCAUCUCCGGGGGUAGAGCACUGUUUCGGCAAGGGGGUCAUCCCGACUUACCAACCCGAUGCAAACUACGAAUACCGGAGAAUGUUAUCACGGGAGACACACGGCGGGUGCUAACGUCCGUCGUGAAGAGGGAAACAACCCAGACCGCCAGCUAAGGUCCCAAAGUCAUGGUUAAGUGGGAAACGAUGUGGGAAGGCCCAGACAGCCAGGAUGUUGGCUUAGAAGCAGCCAUCAUUUAAAGAAAGCGUAAUAGCUCACUGGUCGAGUCGGCCUGCGCGGAAGAUGUAACGGGGCUAAACCAUGCACCGAAGCUGCGGCAG